GAUGAACGCUAGCGGCAGGCUUAAUACAUGCAAGUCGUGCGCCCCGCAAGGGGAGCGGCAGACGGGUGAGUAACGCGUGGGAAUCUACCGAGCCCUGCGGAAUAGCUCCGGGAAACUGGAAUAAUACCGCAUACGCCCUACGGGGGAAAGAUUUAUCGGGGUUUGAUGAGCCCGCGUUGGAUUAGCUAGUUGGUGGGGUA
rnacentral:rRNA from 1 species